ACUUAUUGAUAUCUCAUCCAUUUAAUCCUCUUUUUGAAUGAUAUAUAGCAUGCAGAUAUGUCAUAUGCUGGACAACUUUCUUUGUUUUAGCAAGUAGAAAUUUAACAGAUUGUUGUUUGUCUCUAAUUUUUUGAGAGAGAGGACAACGGGGACUGGGGACCAAGAAUGAGAUAUGUUAGCUGAGUUGUAAUUAAGGAGAAAAAUUUUUUUGCCCAUCCGUUCCCCCCCACCACAAAACAAAGUGCCACCCCAAACCCCCUUUUCUUAUCGAACGGCAUUGUAUCACUGUAGAUGAAAUUGCUUUCAAGCAUUUGGAAAGAAAUAUGGUUAAUUGAUAAGUGAGGAAUUAAUGGCA
rnacentral:misc_RNA from 1 species